GACAGAGGGGGCAAGCGUUGCUCGGAAUUACUGGGCGUAAAGGGCGCGUAGGCGGGAUGGCAAGUCGGUCGUGAAAAUCCCUCGGCUCAACCGAGGAACGUCGAUCGAUACUGCUGUUCUUGAGGAUUGCAGAGGAGACUGGAAUUCCCGGUGUAGCGGUGAAAUGUGUAGAGGUCGGGAGGAACACCGGUGGCGAAGGCGGGUCUCUGGGCAAUUCCUGACGCUGAG
rnacentral:rRNA from 1 species